GAUAGAUGGUCGAGCGGUUUAAGGCACCGGUCUUGAAAACCGGCAUACAGCAAUGUAUCGUGGGUUCGAAUCCCACUCUAUCC
rnacentral:tRNA from 1 species